GUAGGUGGCAAGCGUUGUCCGGAAUUAUUGGGCGUAAAGCGCGCGCAGGCGGUUCUUUAAGUCUGAUGUGAAAGCCCACGGCUCAACCGUGGAGGGUCAUUGGAAACUGGAGAACUUGAGUACAGAAGAGGAAAGCGGAAUUCCACGUGUAGCGGUGAAAUGCGUAGAGAUGUGGAGGAACACCAGUGGCGAAGGCGGCUUUCUGGUCUGUAACCGACGCUGAGGCGCGAAAGCGUGGGGAGCAAACAGGAUUAGAUACCCUGGUAGUCCACGCCGUAAACGAUGAGUGCUAAGUGUUAGGGGGGUUUCCGCCCCCCUUAGUGCUGCAGCUAACGCAUUAAGCACUCCGCCUGGGAGUACGGCCGCAAGGCUG
rnacentral:rRNA from 1 species